UACGUAGGGCGCAAGCGUUAUCCGGAAUUAUUGGGCGUAAAGAGCUCGUAGGCGGUUUGUCGCGUCUGCCGUGAAAGUCCGGGGCUCAACUCCGGAUCUGCGGUGGGUACGGGCAGACUAGAGUGAUGUAGGGGGAGACUGGAAUUCCUGGGUGUAGCGGUGAAAUGCGCAGAUAUCAGGAGGAACACCGAUGGCGAAGGCAGGUCGUCUGGGCAUUAACUGACGCUGAGGAGCGAAAGCAUGGGGAGCGAACGG
rnacentral:rRNA from 1 species